UUACAGGUCUUGACAUCCCGAUGCUAUUUCUAGAGAUAGAAAGUUACUUCGGUACAUCGGUGACAGGUGGUGCAUGGUUGUCGUCAGCUCGUGUCGUGAGAUGUUGGGUUAAGUCCCGCAACGAGCGCAACCCCUAUUGUUAGUUGCCAUCAUUCAGUUGGGCACUCUAGCGAGACUGCCGGUAAUAAACCGGAGAAGUGGGGAUGACGUCAAAUCAUCAUGCCCCUUAUGACCUGGGCUACACACGUGCUACAAUGGUUGGUACAACGAGUUGCGAGUCGGUGACGGCGAGCUAAUCUCUUAAAGCCAAUCUCAGUUCGGAUUGUAGGCUGCAACUCGCCUACAUGAAGUCGGAAUCGCUAGUAAUCGCGGAUCAGCACGCCGCGGUCGAAUACGUUCCCGGGCCUU
rnacentral:rRNA from 1 species